GAAAUACUCAAAGAAAGAUAGGCACAUACUCAUUUAAUGCGUUUACUCCCAGGCACAUACUCAUUUAAUGCGUUUACUCCCAGUCACAUACUCAUUUAAUGUGUUUACUCCCAGGGACAUACUCUAUCUAUCUAUCUAUCUAUCUAUCUAUCUAUCUAUCUAUCUAUCUAUCUAUCUUUACUCCCAGGCACAUACUCAUUUAAGAUGUUUACUCCCAGUCACAUACUCAUUUAAGGUGUUUACUCCCAGUCACAUACUCAUUUAAUGCGUUUACUCACAGGCACAUACUCAUUUAAGGUCACAUACUCAUUUAAUGCGUUUACUCCCAGUCACAUACUCAUUUAAUGCGUUUACUCCCAGUCCCACCACUAGAAGGGACUUAUUUCCAAAGA
ensembl:lncRNA